UACGGAGGAUCCAAGCGUUAUCCGGAUUUAUUGGGUUUAAAGGGUGCGUAGGUGGUCUGUUAAGUCAGGGGUGAAAGACGGUGGCUUAACUAUCGCAGUGCCCUUGAUACUGAUGGGCUUGAAUGAACUAGAGGUAGGCGGAAUGUGACAAGUAGCGGUGAAAUGCAUAGAUAUGUCACAGAACACCAAUUGCGAAGGCAGCUUACUAUGGUUUUAUUGACACUGAGGCACGAAAGCGUGGGGAUCAAACAGG
rnacentral:rRNA from 1 species